GAACAUUAAUCCUGGGCCUGCCUUGGCCUCUUCAGAAAAGCCCUGGAAACCAGAUGGAUGUUCUGCCUGCACUGGAAUCUGGCCACUUCCUUCAGUGUAAAGGAGGGCUUCUUCUACCUAUGUACCUCAAAGAAGAGCUUGUGUGUCUGCGUGACUUGGCUUUGAAUCCCUUGUGUCCAACUUCCUUGUUCAGGACCCAUCUCUACUGCCUGCUGCUGUGUAUCUUUAAAAGGAUAACUCAGCUUUUCUAGUGUCCUCAUGUGUGAAGCAAGAGUACUGCACAGCCGGGUGGGUGUUCUGAGCUCCAGUACGCCGAGUUCCUAAAACGGCAACGAUGCUGGAUGUAUUUCUGAAUGUGAGUGACUUGUAUCAGUGACACAUUGAUAGCCAGUGGCAGAAGACACAGCCCAGGGUCAUUCCCAGCACCCCUGCUCAUCUAAGGAGCACCCACAAAGGCCAGACAUCCUGUGGACAGACCACAUCUUCCCUCAGAAUUCAAAACGGUUGCAGUUCCUGCUUGCAGGUUGGAUCUGAAACCCAGAAGCCAUGAACUAACUCCCUUGAUAGUGUCACAUUGGAACCGCUGAAAGGAAAGUGCUGUGGCCCCCAUCAUCGCCCUGUGUCUGCUAGAAAUGGACACAACCUACUAGGCUAUGAAUGCCAGGAGACACGAUCCUAUGGAAGAGCAUUUGAGAUGGGUAAGCCUGGAUUGUCUCAAGGAGUCCUUCCUUCUGCCUCUGGAGAAAUACUUAAACAGGAUCAGGAAGGUAAGAUGAAGGAGGGAGAACAGGAUCAGCUGCAGAUGUCAGUCCAGAGCGUGACAGGGGAGACAAGGGGGUAAAGCUCUCUGCAGAUGUGAGGUUAGGGUUCUUCAGCCUGAUCACCCAGGGCAGAGAAAGCUGGGCAGCUUAUGUGUUCCCGAGAGUCACUCUUCACCCUGCAGGGAGAAGCAAACUGACUUCACCUCACAACCCAGGCUUCUGCACAAGCUUGCACAGAUACAAGUGCACCAACAGCAACAACACACACACAACACACACACGACCACACACACACACACGUCAUGUGUUAGGAUUUACCAUGGUAAAGGAGAGGUGACACAGCCCUCACCCUGAUGGACACACAGGCCUACUCCCCAUCAAUUCCCAUGGCUACUAUGCUAGCUCUGCUUGAAGCAUGUCCCACUCCCACCUCCCAUAGAACUGAGGAAGGAACUCCAAGCCUCCAGCUUGCUAAGCAAGCUCUCUGCCACUAAUCCACAGCCCAGCCCUUCAGUUGUGCAUCUCUCUUUGUGAUGACAAGGACCUCCAGACCUAUAGGGACCAAUUAAGCAAAAUAUUUUGUAGUUAAAUGUCACAGUUGGGCAAUGUAGAAGGAAGUUCCAACGGUAAAGGAAGCCAUGCCCCUGGUGCCCUCCGGUGGACAGUGUGGCCUGGCUCCUCUCCAGUUCCUCCAAGACGGGGCUGCAAAGGGAUCUGCUGGAAGCUGACCAACUUUGUUGGACUCCGUUCCACCUGAUGUUCAGGGAACCUAAAUGAGAAAGAUGUCCUUGCCUUUGAGACAUCACGGUCUCUCAGACCACAGCGCUGUCUAGUCUGGGUUGCGUGCCUGUCCUGGUAUCCUGAUAAUAACUUAAAUAAGAUCAUCAAACCACCCUGGACACCCAGUCGCCAGAUUCUUCACUAUGUCUACAACCUGCACGAGUCACUCUCUGCUCCCUGUUCUCAUCCUUGUAUUGAUUUCUGUCUUUCUUGAUUUUACAGCUGCAGCUCAGAGAUGGCAUGAUUCCCAUCACACCAUAUAUAAAUGCGGGUGAUUGCCUUAGAUUUAUUUGAAAUACAUACGUAAUGUCACACAUUCAAAUUUUGCAAGAGUCUACACUGAAAGCACAUCUUCCCACCAUCACGCCCCCUGUACCCUAGUCACCUCAGGGGCAACCUGUUGUUACAUUUUUGUCAAUUUUUUUCUACAUAUAUUUUAUGCAUAUAGCAGUUUGGUUUUGCUUUUUUUUUUUUUUAACACACAAAGGGUAGAUGCUACACACUGUUGGCGACCUCAUUCUCUUGGAGCAUCCUCUGCAUAGACUAACCAUGUGAGCUUUGCCCACUACUAAUGUGAGAUGUCUGCCAUUACAAACACAAUGCAGUGAGUGAGUUUCCCUGUCCCUGCGCCUUCCACAUAGUACAGCUGCUGAGUUAAAGGGGAUAUGAUUUGUGGUUUUGACAGAUGUUAUUAAACUUCCCUUUUAUCAUUGUAUCAAUUAACCCUCCCAUGAACAAAGACUGGAACCUGGGACAUCCUGACUCUAAAACCAGGGACACCGUAGCUCCUGCCCUUGCCAAGCCCUUGAACUCAUGACUGGGGCUUCACUGACUGUGAAGCCCCACACAGGGGCCGGUGGAACAAAGCAAAGCCCGCGAGUCUCCUCCCCCAGAGCCUUGGAUUCUGGGUGUCUGAGAACCCCAGCUAACUCCCAGUCUGCAUCUGGAGGAGAUGGGAAACUGGGAUUCUGCAGUCAAGGUGGAGCCUUACAGAUGUGUCUGUGAGCACAGGGAGGCAGGAAAACCGGUGGCCAGCUCUGACGUGCAAGGCAUCUAGCCCACUGGCAGGUGUGUCAGUUCAGGUAAAGGCGCUGCAGAGCUCCAUGGGUCAAGUGUUCUUACCUCCAUAACACCUCUAAUACCAGCACGUGGGAAGCUGAAGCAGGGGGUUCAAUCUCCAAUGCUCUAAAGCAAACACAUAGCCCACUUAGUUCUCGGUUAGUUGUCCCUACUGACGUGUCUGUGAACGGAGCAAACACAUAGCCCACUUAGUUCUCGGUUAGUUGUCCCUACUGACGUGUCUGUGAACGGAGCAAUGGUAAAUUUGAGGUUCAGCUCAGAAGACUAGUAUGAGCUGUUCUGGAUAUUUUUAUAUCACCUGGACACAAAGCUAGAAUCACCUGAGAGAAGGGAACCUCAGUUAAGAAAAUGCCUUCAUUCUUAAUUAGUAGUUGACGUGGGAGGACCCAGCCCAUUGUGAAUGGGCCUGCUCCUGGAUUGGUGGUCCUGAGUUCUAUCAGAAAGCAGGCUGAGCAAGCCAUGUGGCCAGUAAGCAGCACCCCUCCGUAGCCUCUGCAUCAGCUUGUCUCCAGGUUCCUGCCCUGUUCGACUUCCUGUCCUGAUUUGCUUCAGUUAUGAACAGUGAUGUCAAAUUAUAAGCCAAAGAAACCUUUUCCUCCUGUCUUAGUCAGGGUUUCAAUUCCUGCACAAACAUCAUGACCAAGAAACAAGUUGGGGAGGAAAGGGUUUAUUCAGCUUACAAUUCCAUACUGCUGUUCAUCACCAAGGAAGCCAGGACUGGAACUCAAGCAGGUCAGGAAGCAGGAGCUGAUGCAGAGGCCAUGCAGGGAUGUUCUUUACUGGCUUGCUUCCCCUGGCUUGCUCAGCCUGUUCUCUUAUAGAACCAAGACUACCAGCCCAGAGAUGGCCCCACCUACAAGGGGCCUCUCCCCCUUGAUCACUAAUUGAGAAAAUGCCUUACAGUUGGAUCUCAUGGAGGCAUUUCCCCCAACUGAAGCUCCUUUAUCUGUGAUAACCCCAGCCUGUGUCAAGUUGACACAAAACUAGCCAGUAACACCUCCCCAACUUGCUUUUCGGUCAUGGUUUCAUCCCAGCAAUAGAACCCUAACUAAGAAGACCUGAGUGGCAUUGGAGAGGAAAGGACUCUAUCUGUAUCUUAAACUAAAGCUGGACAGCACACAGGGGUCCAACACAGGACCUGUUGACUGUUGUACAUGUCUAUCAGUUUUUGAAAUAAAGAGGAGCAGAAGAGAGAGAAGCCUUGCUAGAUGAGGCAGAGUGAGGAUCAAAGAAAGGCCCAGAGCUCCCAUCAAGCCAUGAAAUGCAAGAAACUUCAGCCGCAGGAUCCUAGGUGGACACCAGAGUCUGGGACAGCAAGUCCCCCUGAAGCAGCCUCCACGGAAGGAACCUCUGUUCUUGUCAGUGCUGUAGUCUGGCUGGACUGGGCAGUGUCAGAAACGCGAUUUCCAUCAGAGGAGCCUGUUCAUUCUUGCCCUACAUCAUUGUUGGGAUCAUAAUAAAAAGACUGGCAGCUUUGACACACUAAGCCAGUUCAAUCUUUAUUAAAAUCUUCCUUUUUCUUC
rnacentral:lncRNA from 1 species